CCAUGGAUAUGGACAAGCUGGAUGGUUGUGAGUUUGACCUGAUUAUUAAUGCGACCUCCAGCGGCAUACGGGGCGAAAUCCCGGCGAUUCCGGCGUCACUUAUUCACCCUUCCCUCUGUUGCUAUGACAUGUUCUAUCAAAAAGGGAAUACGCCAUUUCUCUCCUGGUGUGUACAACAGGGCGCAAAACGCUACGCAGAUGGGCUGGGAAUGCUGGUGGGGCAGGCUGCACAUGCCGUUUUGCUUUGGCACGGUGUAUUACCGCAGGUCGAGCCAGUGAUUGAGCUGCUACAGCAGGAAUUAUUAGCGUGAACCAGGCCAUACAAUUUCCUGACCGCGAAGAAUGGGAUACUGCCGCCAGUGCUAUCAUCUUUCCCGCCCUGGUUAAUGGGAUGCAACUCACGUGUGCAAUAAAAAAAGAUGUACUGGCGUAUCGCUUUGGUGGAGAAACAGCGGAGCAAUGGCUGGCCAUUUUUCGUGAGUAUCGCUGGGACCUGGAAGAAGAGGCGGAAGCAUUAAUCCUGGCCCAGCAGGAAGAUGAUCACGGUUGGAUAUGGUUAUCCUGAGAAAGAUAGUCGUCUUUCCACUUUACAUAGUUAUUGGCGGAGUACUGCAGGCCCGAUCUCUCAGCAUCGCUCAAGGGGCGGAUCUGUUUUACCGGACUGCCAAGAUAUAAAUAGCCGCUUUCCAGCCGUUUGUGCUGCGGCACCAGGCUUCCCGCGCCAAUCAUUACGUCAUCUUCUAUUAUCGCGCCAUCCAGCACAAUGGAGCCCAUACCGACCAGUACGCGGUUACCGAUGGUACAGCCGUGCAGCAUAACUUUAUGGCCAACGGUAACAUCUUCGCCAAUGAUUAAUGGGUUGCCGUGUGGAUUGGAUGAAGACUUGUGGGUUACGUGAAGAACGCUGCCAUCCUGAAUGUUCGUACGAGCCCCUAUCGCAACGUAAUUCACAUCGCCGCGAAUCACCACAAGCGGCCAGAUCCCGACAUCAUCCGCCAGACGGACAUCGCCAAUAACCACGCUGCUGGUAUCGAUCAUCACGCGCUGACCGAUACCAGGAAAAAGAUUCUUAUAAGGACGUAAUGUGUCAGACAUGUCUACCUCAUCAUAAAUGAAUAGUCAUGAAGACUUUGGUUGCUUUAACGGCGUUGUGCAAGGGGAGAUAGCAUCAAAAAAUCGCCACUUUGCGCAGGAAUGGAGCGAAAGGGAUGAAAAAUCAACAAACAGAAAAAAAGAUCCAAAAAACGCUUGUGCAAAAAAAUGGGAUCCCUAUAAUGCGCCUCCAUCGAC
rnacentral:rRNA from 1 species